rnacentral:rRNA from 1 species
GACGGGGGAUGCAAGUGUUAUCCGGCAUGAUUGGGCGUAAAGCGUCUGUAGGUGGUUUACCAAGUCUGUUGUUAAAAACCAGGGCUUGACCCUGAUCCGGCAACAGAAACUAGUAGGCUAGAGUACGGUAGGGGCAGAGGGAAUUCUCGGUGUAGUGGUGAAAUACGUAGAUAUCGAGAAGAACACCAAUAGCGAAAGCACUCUGCUGGGCCGAAACUGACAUUGAGAGGCGAAAGCGAGGGGAGCAAAAAGG